UCCAUGAGUCAGGCCCGAGGUAUGCCAGGAGCGCGUCCGCUUCGGGAGUAAGUAGCGGUGCAGCGGAAGAGGCAAAGAAAGAGAGACGGAGAGGGAGGAAGAUGCGAGUCGAGUCGUUGCCCGCAAGAACUUCUUCUCCCUGGAUCAGGAGUCGGGGUCGAGAAAACUAUUUAAACUGUGCAGUCGUUUAUUAAAGCGAAGAAAAUUUCUUAUAAUCUUUCGCUCUCUUUUUGCACAAUCCCUGUUGAUAUCGAUUUUAAACGGCCAAUGAGAGACGCGAAGUAAAAGCAAAGCGUGAGAACUGCGGCAGAGAAGUCACGGUACAGUGAAUAGUGAGAGAAUCGUCGAAGGAGAGAACAACCCACCUAGAUGAAUUAUUUACGAUUUUGCCUUUGCGUUGUUAUGUGAUUGAGAAUUACUUACUCUCUUAUCGCAAUCUUUCAUGUUCCGCGUGAGUCACGCGGCUACAUUAAGCUUUUAAACUUUGAAGAUUUCAUCUCAUUAACGUAAGCCGCCUAUGAGGCAUGUGUAAUUUUCAUGCAUGCAUGAAUUCUUAGCGCAUUAAAAAUGUAAAAUGUGUCUUAUCGAGAUUGUAAUGCACUAUAUGUAUUUCAUUUUGAGGCAUAUUAGUCAGUUCGAAGAAACAAAGCAAUUCUUUGCCGUUUAACCACUAUCAGUGAAUCAGCGAAAAAGUAUAAAGAAAGGAUUUCGAGCUAGAAUGACGAUGAGCACGAUUAAAGGAAGAUCGACUGUUAACUCAAAUAAAACAACUAUCAUAUUAAAAUUAUGAUUUUGGAACGGCCUAUGAAUAGUUAAAGAUAAAAAUGUUCUGGCAGCGGUAUAGCGGUAUGGAUGAAGCAUCGGCAGAUCGUAUUAUCGAUUGAUUGAAUGGUACUGUUUUUACACGUGAGUCCGUAAUACAUGUGUGCCGUAAAAGGCGACUGUCAAGUUCAAAAGGGAUUUUAAUGUGCGAGAUUUAAUCGUAUUAUCGUGAGCUGGAACAUUGCCAAGUGUUCCCCCUUUCUUUAUCUAUCUCUGUCUCUUUCGAAAUAGCACUUGUCUAUAUUUAUCGAUAUCAAAGUAUAGCGCAACGUGUCGCCUAACGGGAGAAACUACUACUCGAGAGAUCACAGAAUCCGAAUUUGAUUAUUCAUGGACUUUUUUAUUUUGAAAUGUAUUAAAAAGGAAAAAUUUUGUUCCAAAAAUUAAAACUGCGUUUUGUGCUUAACAUGUUUUAUAUCUUUAUAUGAUAUAAAAUAUUUGACAUAUUCAAAUAGGACGAUAAAGUACGAAACUAUAUCAAUAAAGAUCGAUCAGACGAGAACAGCGUUCCUAAUGGAGGCCGUUAACGCUCAAGGAGAAGAAAGAUAAUGAGGAUAAUCGGAGAGAAAUCAAAGAUGAAAGAUUAAAUAUCGCGCAGUCAUUUAUAAAAGUAUUAUUCAAAGUAAAAUCAUUCAAAGUUAUUCGUUCGGCGAGAGAGGAUAACGCGAGUACUCGCGUUACAAUGAAUUGGAAAUCGAAAAUGAAUCAAGGAGAAAUUCGUACAUAAUGCACGGCGCAGCACUCUAUGAUAUAGACUAUCAUAUAUUUAUACUUCCACCAUUGAUGAUGCAAAGAAAAGCGAAUGGAAAAAGAGAAGCCAAAUAGGACUUAUAUAAGUACAUAUACAUGUACAUUUUCGAAAAAAAGAGAAAACUAUGAUAAAAUUAUCAAAGUUAAGGCAUUGCAACUUGUAAGGCGAUUUCGUAAUCGGUGUAUUUAUGUGACACGAACACAGAGUUGAAGGAUAUAAAAUGCUAGACUAGAUCGAACGAUCACGCUCUAUUUCCAAACUGGACACGCUCAUCAUAUUGCAUACAUCGAAAUUAAUAACCUUCUCUAAGGUUACAUAUUACACAAAGAAAUAUCAUGAAAGUGAUCCAAGAUCUGUACAAUAGAAUUUACAAUGAUAGCGACGUUAAAUAUCUCACAUCCGUUUGCACAUUCGCGCGACAUCAACAAAAAAGGAAAACGAGUCUCUUUCUCUCUCUCUCUCUCUCUUUCGUCAGAAUUGCUGUUUUAGAUGUACAAUUUUUGUCACAUCAAUGAUCUAGCGAAGGAUCGUUCUAGGAUACAUCGAAACCGGCACGGAGGUGAAAUUCCUGUAAAUUGACUCACCUUGCGUCGAUCCUGCGUUGUAACAGCACAAUAACGGCGAUGUAUCCCGUAUAUCACAAGCCACUAACACCUGUGCUGGCACGAUAGAGACCUACCACGCGACGCUACACAACAACGUGACGCUAUUCGUGAUAGAAGGGGAAAAAAGAGACAAAGAGAGAGACAGAGAAAGAGAAAAAGGAGAGGAACUAAGAAGUAGGCAGGUGGUGAAUCGAGAAACACGCGCGAUCAGGAUAACGGUGCGACGAUCGGCGACGACGAACUGAACGUAGGUAGGUUGAUAGGUAGGCAGAGUCGGACGCGAAAGCGAAGGAAACGCGGUCCCGAUUGGUGUCACAGUUGGUACGCAUGCGCUGGUCGCGCAGCUCUGCAAAAUGCCAGUGCAAGCGGUAUAAGUGUGCGUGUGUGUACGUGUGUACGGAUACCCGACACUGCAUCAGAGGUACCGCACAGGUGUGUGCGUCACGGUCGUAACUACAGGUACGAGAAAGCACCAGUGUCGCUCAACCGUGUCUGUGACGCGAGUCCAGUGUGUUAACACUGGUGCGACCCGUGUUGGUGACCUACCUAAGGGAACCGUGACCCGUACCACUACACACAGGCAGAUAGAAGCAGCAAUCGUUUUCGUAUGGAAAAAAAUAAAGUUUUGCGAAGGAAAGCUUACGAAUACGGCUCGCUUUACGCGGCGAUAGUUAAGUCUUUGCCGUCUGCUCGCCUUCGAUGGUCUUCUUAUAAACUUCCUUGUAAACGAGUUC